AUUCACCCAUAGAUAUUUUCCCUCCCAACAAAAUCAACAAUCUCUCUCUCAAGUCUCAACUCUCCUAUUUCACCCAAAAAUUCUCAAUUUUCUCACACAAACUGAGAAAAACUAAACCCUAAUUUUUAUUUCUACUCUCAACUUUUUCUUCUUCUUCUUGUUUCCAAACCCUAGUUCCCUCUUUUUUCCGUCCCCCACAGUAGUACCAAAAGAAACCGUACUACCAAACAUGAGCCUAUACGACCACCGCUACGGCGAUCCGAAUUCCUAUCGCGAGCGUCGAAGUGAUUUAAUUGGUCCUCCAGCACCGGUGGCUCCGCCAGUUAUUGGCGUUGCCGCUUCGAGCUAUGGCCGUGGUGGACCUGUGCCAUACGGAGGCGCUGCUCCUCCUCAGGUUUAUGGCAGAGGAGGAGGAGGAGGAGGAGGAAGUGGUGGGUCGGGUAGUUUUAAUGGGUACCCGCCUUUUCAGCCGUCUGCUGGCCGAUUUGAUGUUGGCCGAGGCGGCAGUGGUGGUAGAAUUGGGAAUGGAAAUGUUGGGGAUAGAAGAAUUGGUAAUGUAGGGCGUGGUGGUGUUGGUGGGGGGAGAGGGUUUGAUUCGGGGAGUGGUGGUGGUAGAGGUGGUAUAAGUCGCGGUGGAGGAGAUAGGGAUGGCCGAAUUGGGGGUAGGGGUUAUGGUGGUGGUCGUGGUGGGAGUAGUAGUUUUGGUGGUGGCGGGAGGGGAUUCGAUGGGCGUGGUGGUGGAAGAGGAGGUAGGCAUGGUGGGGGGUCAAGAGGGGACUUGGACAACAUUGCUUUGCCUAAGCAGGAUUUUGGGAGUUUGGUCCCUUUUGAGAAGAAUUUUUAUGUUGAGACUCCUUCCGUGCGGGCAAUGAGUGAGCAUGAAGCUGUGGUUUAUAGGGUGAGGCGGGAUAUCACGGUGGAAGGGCAUGAUGUUCCAAAGCCAAUUAGGAUGUUUCACGAAGCUAAUUUCCCCGAUUACUGCCUUGAUGCGAUUGCAAAACUGGGUUUUGUUGAGCCAACACCAAUUCAGGCUCAAGGAUGGCCGAUGGCUCUUAAGGGUAGGGAUUUAAUUGGAAUUGCUGAGACUGGUUCUGGUAAGACUUUGGCAUAUCUGCUUCCAGCUUUGGUCCAUGUCAAAGCGCAGCCUCGAUUGGUACAAGGUGAAGGUCCCAUUGUAUUGGUAUUAGCACCUACUAGAGAAUUAGCUGUCCAAAUUCAAGAAGAAGCUCUAAAAUUUGGGUCACGUGCUAAUAUUAGAAUUACUUGCAUAUAUGGUGGUGCUCCUAAAGGGCCUCAAAUUCGCGACCUUAAAAGAGGUGUGGAGAUUGUUAUUGCUACACCUGGCCGACUGAUAGAUAUGUUGGAAGCUCAACACACAAACUUGCGAAGAGUGACCUAUCUUGUGUUAGAUGAGGCUGAUCGAAUGUUGGACAUGGGAUUUGAGCCUCAGAUAAGGAAAAUCGUAUCCCAGAUUCGGCCAGAUAGACAGACAUUGUAUUGGAGUGCCACAUGGCCAAGGGAGGUUGAAACUCUAGCAAGGCAGUUUUUACGCAAUCCAUAUAAGGUUAUUGUUGGAUCAUCAGAUCUGAAAGCAAACCAGUCUAUAAUUCAAGUUGUUGAAAUUUUGACAGAUAUGGAGAAAUAUAAUAGGCUGAUUAAACUCCUUAAAGAUAUGAUGGAUGGGAGCCGAAUUCUGAUAUUUAUGGAGACAAAAAAAGGAUGUGACCAAGUUACAAGGCAAUUGAGAAUGGAUGGAUGGCCAGCUUUAUCCAUCCAUGGUGAUAAAAACCAGGCCGAAAGGGACUGGGUCCUUGCUGAGUUUAAAAGUGGCAGAAGUCCUAUAAUGACUGCCACUGAUGUUGCUGCACGGGGUCUUGGUAGGAUCACUGCAUGCUAGGAGUCUUAGGUUUUUUCAUCUAGGUCUUAAAAAUUCCAAAGAUAGGCGAGUCGGCCGGCUGCUGUCCAGUAUCCUAAGAAUAUAAUUUGUGGUUUGGGUGCGAAGGGAGGAGCCAUGAUUUGUCAUGACUGGGACUGCUCAUUUUUUAUUCACACGCAAUAUCUUUCUACUGCGUUAAGGGAUUUAUUAUUCAUGAGUUGGAUGAAGGGGCAAGGUUUCUCAUCUUAAUCAUACUCCUAAUCUUACACGGACACUAGGAGCAUAGUUUCACUGUUAUUGCUAGAAUAACAGAUGUUAAAAUUUUUGGUGGAGGUUUGUCAUGAGCCUUGUAGCUCAACUGGUUGAUAGCUCCUCGUGUUUAUAAAUGAGGCAUCUAGGGUUCAAAUCCCUCUCCUCCAAUUUUGAAUUAUCAAAAUUUUUGGGGGAGUUUUGUCAAGAGCCUUGUAGCUCAAUUGGUUGGUAGCUCCUCAUUUUUAUAAAUGAGGCAUCUAGGGUUCAAAUCCCCCUUCCCCAAUUUUUGAAUUAUCAAAAUUUUUGGGGGAGGUUUGCCAUUUAUAUUAUUAAAGCGAGAUAGAUAUUUUAUAUUGACUAAAAUAUUGUUUACAUCCCUAAAGUUUGCAUGAAGUUCAUUUCCCUAAACUUUAAAAAGUUAUUUUUUUGUCCUUUUAAAGAGAUUUUUCCGAUAGUUUAGGGAUUGAAAAUAGGGACAAAAAAAGAACAUUUUUUUCAAAUAGUUUAGGUAUGAAAAACAAAUCUUUUUAUAGUUUUAGCACCAAAAGUGUAACGUUUUCAAUAGUUUAGGAACAAAAAAAAAGUACUCUUUAAAGCUUAGGGAUGAAAUUCAAAAUUCAUGCAAACUUUGUGAACAAAAACAAUAUUUUAACCUAUUAUAUUCAUAGGACUGGAAAAUCCCUCCCACUUCCACUCCUUUUUAAAUUCAUUAGGAAGUAGAGCUGGCUUUUAUAUGGUUGGCUACUGACUUUUUGCUAGAAGUGUUGCUCCUAUUAUCAAGUGUCUAAUUAACAUAGUCAAGGUUAUCGCUGCCCAUCCACAGUUAUGGAGCUGGUUGUUGUCGCAGUCCGGUUGACUCACACAUGCUUAUGCAUUGAUUGGAUAUGGAAGUGGUGGUGGUGAAGCUGCUCCUUAUCCCUGCAAGGUUAAGAUGUGAAGGACAUCAAAUGUGUGGUCAAUUAUGAUUUUCCGUCAAGCCUUGAAGAUUAUGUCCACAGGAUUGGCCGAACUGGUCGGGCAGGAGCAAAGGGGACUGCGUUCACCUUUUUCACCCAUGCAAAUGCAAAGUAUGCUAGGGAUCUUAUCAAGAUCUUGCAAGAAGCUGGGCAGGUUGUGAAUCCUGCACUCUCUAGCAUGGCUCGUUCAGCUGGUUCUGGUCUAGGAGGAUCUGGGGGAAACUUUCGCUCCAGAGGACGAGGAGGGUUUGGCAAUCGGUCUCAGAUUUCAGGCUCUAAUACUAUUCCCCUUGGUGGAAGGAGACCUUGGUAGUGUGUUACUGCUGCUGCUGAUAGCCGUAAUGUAAUUUGAUAUAAACUUAGGAUAGUCUGUAGAGAAUGAUUUAUGUCAUGGUUGCAGCUAGCUUACUUUCACUUUUGGCAUCUUUUACUGAUUCAUGCCAAAGAAAAAACAAAAUUAGUCGUGUUGUAUUUUUAAAUUCUUGAGCAAAAUUUAUUGAUGUUGUAUUGUCUACCAUUGAAAUUCAGCCAAAAAAGAAGUAUUACAUAAUUUGACUUCCAGCUGAUACUAUCUCUGAUGCUUAGUCUAUGAUAUGCCAUAAUAGUUGCUUUAA